UUCAGGAUUCAAUUCUCCUUUUUGCUUACUCCACUUCUUAAAUCUCCUCCUUGCUUACUACACUUCUUAAAUCCUAGAAAGCCUUGCUUUAGUGGUUAAUGUUAAAACUUCUUAAAUCUCCUCUUUCCUUACUCUACUUCUUAAAUCCUAUAAAAUUUGGUCUAGUAGUUAAGUUUGAAACUCCAAGAAUCAGAGGUCCAAGGUUCACUUCUCGUCUUUUCUCACUUCACUUCUUAAAUCCUACCAUUCAUCUGAUUUUUUUUUUUAAAAAAAAACUAUAUAAAUGUUUUUGAGUUUAUUUUCAAAAGACUCACUUCUUAAAUCCUGCCCUUACUCUGUUUUUCAAAAAACUUCAUUAACAAAUAUGCACUUUGAUUAGGAACGUGCAGCUUCUUGUCUGUCUGGUUUAUCUCUAAAGUAUUCCAGCCGUUAUUCUAGAUUUAUCAUGGCUAGUUAAAUUCAAAUGCUAUGUAGUAAUGAUUCCUCUGAUGUAGAAGUGGGUUUUUCUCCCUCCACCGCAAUUGAGUUUGAUUCUCCCUUAGUAUAUAAUAAUGUAGAAUUAGUGUAGAUGCUGUGGAUUCACGAAAUAAUUAAAUAAAAAAAAUAGAGAUGAAACUUCAACGGAUUAAGGGCUCAUAAUUUGUCGCAUAAUUAUUCUUGCGAAACUUUCUGCAUCCGUCUGUUGAAGCUCAAAUUUGGCAGCAAAACCAUAUCCGUUGAGGUUAACUUUGAAAUCGUAAUCCGUAUUGAAAUCUAACUUUGAAGUAAAUGUGUUGAGGUACGAUUUCUGAUUUAAUUUAGAGUAAAGAUAUCAUUGUUGAGAGGACGAAUAUGACUUUAUACUCUUGAAACUUGUAUCACUUGCUUACUUUGCAUUCUAAAACUUCAAUGCUAAUCACUUUACAUCCUAAAUUCUCAAUUUUUAACAUUUUACGCCCUAAAUUUCAAUUUUAUUCAUAGUAAUAGAAUACAUAACUACUUUAAAUAGUUAAAACCUUUCGCUUUCUUUUUUUUUUUUAAUUCUAAGUAAAUUAUUAUUAGAGUAAGUUGUUGGAAAAAUGGCUAUAUUCAUUGUAGAGUGAAUGAGAAAAUUGUUCUCAUAAUGGCACUCUUGAAAGAAUCCAGGAUAAUUAUCUAUCAUUCAUUCAUGUAUAUAGGAUUCAUGUAUAUUAAUUAUUGAUACAUGAUUUUGGAUAGGAUUCAUGUGUAUUAAUUAUUGAUACAUGAUUUUGGAUAGGAUUCAUUUGGGGUUAUCUUAUUGAGAUACAUGUAUGUACAUGAAUGUGGUCCUUUGAUAAACGUGAAGAUAAUUAUCUGGAAUUUAACACUUGUUGCCAAUUUCUAACAGUCACCCUUGGCCAGCAUCUAUAAAUAUCUCUUUUGUUUCAAAAGAAAGCGCGCUCUCUCUCUCCUUUUCCUUCUUGCAUCUGCAUCUUUUAUAGUGUUCCAUAUUGCUCUAGUUCGAGUUCGCUGGGGUGAAGAACGUUUGGUGCUGACAUAUUCGCCUUUAAUCCGUUGUAUCCUGGGAGACAGACGCCUACUCAACCUCAAGCACUCUACCUGGAGGGGGCGAAUCUGUUUUAAGGAAAUUGUGCUCACAAGCCUCGGAUUGUUAUUAUUAUUUUUCGAUCAUUUCUUUCUUUCUGGGUUGUAUUUAUUCUUCUCUAUUGUGUAUCAGCCUAUAUCUUUUAUUAUUUCACUAACAGUCUUAAAACAGAUUCGGUUCUCAAUGGCUGACAAUACAGGAAGAGAAACCAACACAUCUACUGUUGAUGCCUCUGCCUCUGGCACAAUUGUGAAACAACCUGAAGGAAAGAUUACUCCUACGGUUUCUACCAACCAUAGUGAGAAACCUGAGAAGUUCCAUGGCUCGAACUUCAAGACAUGGCAACAAAAGAUGUUGUUCUAUUUGACAACAUUGAAUCUCUCGAGAUUCUUAAGUGAGGAUGCUCCAAAGCUGCCUGGAGGCUUAACUGAUGCACAAGCUGUCAGUCCUAUUGAUGCUUGGAAGCACUCCGAUUUUCUUUGUCGAAAUUAUGUCAUGAACUGCUUGCAUGACUCGCUGUAUAACGUGUAUCAAAUACACAAGACGGCUAAGGGAGACAUGGAAAACAUGAACCUGACUGCUAUGGUUUCUGAAGUAAAUAUGAUAGGGUCAAAUCCGAAAGAAUGGUGGAUUGACACUGGAGCUACAAGACAUGUUUGUACAAACAAAGACUUGUUCACUACCUUCGAAAAAAUUGAAGGAGAAAAAAUGUUCAUGGGGAACUCUGCCUCAUCUGCUAUUGAAGGUCAAGGGAAGGUGUUACUAAAGAUGACUUCUGGCAAAACAUUGACUUUGAACGAUGUUUUGUAUGUGCCAGAAAUCCGCAAGAACCUUGUUUCUGGAUCGUUGCUGAACAAGCAUGGCUUUCGCAUGGUUUUUGAAUCGGAUAAAGUUAUAUUAUCCAAAUCUGGGAUGUAUGUAGGGAAAGGAUAUACAACCGAUGGGUUGUUCAAAUUGAAUGUACUGACUAUUGUGAAUAAUAAGAAUAAGUCUUCUGCUUAUUUGCUUGAGUCUUCCAAUUUAUGGCAUGGUAGACUAGGUCAUGUUAAUUAUGAUACUUUGCGUAGACUAAUUAACUUGGAUCAUAUUCCUUCCUUUCACAUCAAUUCAAACCAUAAAUGCGAGAUUUGCGUAGAAGCAAAAUUAACAAGGUCAUCCUUUCAAACAAUUGAAAGAAACACCGAACCCCUUGAAUUGAUUUACACAGAUGUCUGUGAUUUGAAAUUUGUUCAAACAAGAGGUGGUAAUAAAUAUUUUAUCACUUUCAUUGAUGAUUGCACAAAAUACUGUUAUGUGUAUUUGCUCAAAAGUAAAGAUGAAGCCUUGGAAAAUUUCAUUCUCUACAAGAAUGAAGUUGAAAAUCAACUUAACCGGAGAAUUAAAAGGUUAAGAAGUGAUAGAGGUGGUGAAUAUGAAACACCUAUUGGUGAUGACUGUGCAAAAUAUGGAAUUGUUCAUGAAGCUAUUUUGUCAAGCAAUUACCUUUUAAAUAGGGUACCCCGGAAAAAAUAAGAUAAAACUCCUUAUGAGUUAUGAAAAGGUAGGAGACCAUCCUACAAAUACUUGAAAGUGUGGGGGUGUCUUGCAAAAGUGGCUAUUCCAGUACCAAAGAGAAUAAAGAUAGGUCCUAGAACUGUGGACUGUAUCUUUAUAGGCUAUGCACAUAAUAGUACUGUUUAUCGAUUUCUUGUGUACAAUUCAGAAAUUUCGAAUAUACACAAAAAUACGAUAAUGGAAUCAAGGAAUGUUUCAUUCUUUGAAGAUGUGUUUCCUUGUAAAUCGAUUGGUGCAUCAAGUUCAUCAAAACGAACACAUGAAGUUAUGAAUCAAGAAAAUCAUGAUCAUGACUUGAUUCAACAAGAUGAACCGAGACGUAGCAAAAGGGUUAGAGUGGAAAAAUCAUUACCUUUUAAGCAAUUACCUUUUAAAUAGGGUACCCCGGAAAAAACAAGAUAAAACUCCUUAUGAGUUAUGGAAAGGUAGGAGACCAUCCUACAAAUACUUGAAAGUGUGGGGGUGUCUUGCAAAAGUGGCUAUUCCAGUACCAAAGAGAAUAAAGAUAGGUCCUAGAACUGUGGACUGUAUCUUUAUAGGCUAUGCACAUAAUAGUACUGCGUAUCGAUUUCUUGUGUACAAUUCAGAAAUUUCGAAUAUACACAAAAAUACGAUAAUGGAAUCAAGGAAUGUUUCAUUCUUUGAAGAUGUGUUUCCUUGUAAAUCGAUUGGUGCAUCAAGUUCAUCAAAACGAACACAUGAAGUUAUGAAUCAAGAAAAUCAUGAUCAUGACUUGAUUCAACAAGAUGAACCGAGACGUAGCAAAAGGGUUAGAGUGGAAAAAUCAUUUGGAGAUGAUUUUACAACUUUUCUAUUAGAAAAGGAACCACAAACCUAUACAGAAGCUGUAAGUUCUUCUGAAGGAUUUUUGUGGAAAGAAGCAAUAAAAAGUGAGGUUGAUUCUAUUUUACAGAAUCAUACAUGGGAGUUAGUGGAUCUUCCUCCUGGCUGUAGACCUUUAGGGUCCAAAUGGAUCUUUAAAAGGAAAAUGAAACCUGAUGGCUCUGUCGAUAAGUACAAAGCCAGACUUGUAAUCAAAGGAUACAAGCAACAAGAAGGUUUGGAUUAUUUUGAUACUUAUUCUCCUGUUACGAGAAUAAACUCUAUUAGAAUGAUUCUUGCUAUCGCUGCAUUGAGAAAUCUGGAGAUACAUCAAAUGGAUGUAAAGACGGCUUUCUUAAAUGGAGAUUUAGAUGAAGAAAUCUACAUGGAGCAACCUGAGGGUUUCAUAACUCCGGGAGCAAGAAAUAAAGUUUGUAAAUUAGUCAAAUCAUUGUAUGGACUAAAACAAGUGCCAAAGAAAUGGCAUGAAAAGUUCGACAAUGCAAUGAUAACUAAUGGAUACAGAAUAAAUGAGUGUGACAAAUGUGUCUACACUAAAGAAACAGACAAUGGCUAUGUCAUCUUAUGUCUUUAUGUAGAUGACAUACUUAUUGUUGGUAGUAAUGACAAAAUGGUCAAGUCUACCAAGGACAUGUUGAAUUCAAAAUUUGACAUGAAAGAUAUGGGGCUUGCUGAUGUAAUUUUAGGAGUUAAAAUUACAAGAAUAUCAGACGGGUUGGUCUUGAGUCAAACUCAUUAUGUGGACAAGAUUCUAGAAAAAUUCAAUAAGGAUGAUUCUGGAAUUGCAAGAACUCCAUUAGACAAUAGUUUCCAUCUAUCUAAGAAUAGAGGAGAGAGUAUUUCUCAAGCAGAAUACUCAAGAAUCAUUGGCAGUCUAAUGUAUUUAAUGAGUUGUACUAGACCUGACAUUGCAUAUGUAGUAAGCAAAUUGAGCGGAUUUACAAGCAAUCCGAGUGCUGAUCAUUGGAAAGCAAUUUUAAGGGUACUUAAAUACCUACGGUACACUCGGAACUAUGGACUGCAUUACACUAGAUACCCUACUGUUUUAGAAGGGUACGCUGAUGCAAAUUGGAUAUCUGAUAUAAAGGAUUCAAAAUUCACAAGUGGAUAUGUGUUCACACUUGCCAGUGGGGCAGUAUCUUGGAAGUCUUCUAAACAAACUAUUGUAGCUAGAUCUACAAUGGAAUCUGAGUUCAUUGCCUUGGACAAAUGUGGAGAAGAAGCUGAAUGGCUCCACCAUUUCCUUGAAGACAUUCCAAAAUGGGAAAAACCUGUGCCACCAAUAUGUAUUCACUGUGAUAGUCAAUCAGCAAUUGGAAGAGCACAGAAUAACAUUUAUAAUGGUAAGUCUAGACAUAUACGUCGUAGGCAUAAUACCAUUAGACAACUACUCUCAACAGGAGUUAUCUCUAUUGAUUAUGUGAAAUCAAAGGAUAACAUAGCGGAUCCGCUAACCAAAGGAUUGAAUAGAGAGUUGGUUGCAAAAAUGGCAAAGGGAAUGGGACUAAAGCCCAUGGAAGGCUAAGUGUUAUAAAGGAAACCCAACCUAGCUGACUGGAGAUCCCAAGAUCUAGGUUCAAAGGGACAACCUAAUUAUAAGGACUUAGCAUAGUCAUUGUGGGGGGAUAUCCCUAGACCCAUUCCAUAAUGAAACAAUGACGCAAAGGAGAAUUAAGGAUAGCACGAUGGUGUGCUUUAAUGAUUCUUAAGUGAAGUAAUUAAUUACUGAAGACUUAAGUAAAUCACCUAUGUGAGAGUGAAGUGGGGCCGCUUCAAAAGAGAAUUGUUUAGGGCUCAAUUCUUAAAAAACUCUUGCUGAACCAGGUUGAUGUUCAUGGCCAAAACGAACAUAACUAUGAGAACUGAACAAAUGGAGCAUGAUUCCUGUGUGAAAUAUAUGGUUCAUUUACACUAAAAAGCGGGACAGUUCAAAGACAUCAAGUCUACUGGAUUGCUAGUAAAGUAAGUAUAUUUCACAAGAGAAGGUUCAAAGGGUAACACCAACCUAUCUUAUGCAGGUUUCAGUCGUGGAACACUACUGUAGAGUCAAAUCAAAACAAAUUUUCCAUUCAUGUGGGGGAUUGUUGGAAAAAUGGCUAUAUUCAUUGUAGAGUGAAUGAGAAAAUUGUUCUCAUAAUGGCACUCUUGAAAGAAUUCAGGAUAAUUAUCUAUCAUUCAUUCAUGUAUAUAGGAUUCAUGUAUAUUAAUUAUUGAUACAUGAUUUUGGAUAGGAUUCAUGUGUAUUAAUUAUUGAUACAUGAUUUUGGAUAGGAUUCAUUUGGGGUUAUCUUAUUGAGAUACAUGUAUGUACAUGAAUGUGGUCCUUUGAUAAACGUGAAGAUAAUUAUCUGGAAUUUAACACUUGUUGCCAAUUUCUAACAGUCACCCUUGGCCAGCAUCUAUAAAUAUCUCUUUUGUUUCAAAAGAAAGCGCGCUCUCUCUCUCCUUUUCCUUCUUGCAUCUGCAUCUUUUAUAGUGUUCCAUAUUGCUCUAGUUCGAGUUCGCUGGGGUGAAGAACGUUUGGUGCUGACAUAUUCGCCUUUAAUCCGUUGUAUCCUGGGAGACAGACGCCUACUCAACCUCAAGCACUCUACCUGGAGGGGGCGAAUCUGUUUUAAGGAAAUUGUGCUCACAAGCCUCGGAUUGUUAUUAUUAUUUUUCGAUCAUUUCUUUCUUUCUGGGUUGUAUUUAUUCUUCUCUAUUGUGUAUCAGCCUAUAUCUUUUAUUAUUUCAC
rnacentral:lncRNA from 1 species